CUUGACCACUGAAACAGAACCGGACAAUCAAAAAGGCGCCCAGCGGAAGCCUCGGUCUCUUGCCCUUCGUUUCUGGAGGGUGGGGGGCCCCAACGCAGGUUUUACUCGCAGCGAGCGGUUCCCUGAGCGUCCGUUUGGUCAUUCUGGUCGCACUUUCCCUCGCAGUUCAGCACAAUGCAGCAAGGAAAGAGGAGAACAAACUCCCUUUCGUCUCGCGUGCAUGCCGUGAGACACCUUUUCCUUCACGCCCAUCCCCCGUCAGACGACAGGGGCCAGACCUGGCUCUUGAUCUGCCCGUCGCCGUCCCGUCACGUGGUGCGAAACAGCAAUGGACACACGUCGAAGAAUGAGCUGAUGCACUCGCCUGAGCAUCGCCCCGGCCUCAAGCAUCAACCACACCCCCCCCCCGGCACAUCGGCCCCUACCCAGCGCGUCCCUUGGGGUGGCUGAGGCCCCCCCAGAGGUAGGCAGCGCGAGGGCAGGGCGAGACGCGCUAGAGUCACGCUAAAACCUUGGCCACCAAGUGGAUGGCACAAGCAUGUUCACUGUCGCGGCUCGAUCUGACGCAGCACCACCCAGGGCCUGACCGCAGGCAUCCGUAGCGAUAAAUCGCUCUGACUUUCCUGCGUCCUAGGCACCGAACCCUGAACAGCAGGCUGAAGCGUUUCCCCGUCAUCCGGGGCUUUAAAGAGUUCUCGAAACAAAGAAGCAGCGUGAAGAUGUUUUUUUUUUUUUCAGGUGCAUGCAUCCCUGACGUGUAUGACAACAGUAGUGAACUUCAG
rnacentral:misc_RNA from 1 species